UUGAACGCUGGCGGCAUGCCUUACGCAUGCAAGUCGAACGGUAGAGGGGCAACCCUUGAGAGUGGCGAACGGGUGAGUAAUGCAUCGGAACGUGCCCAGUCGUGGGGGAUAACGCAGCGAAAGCUGUGCUAAUACCGCAUGUGAUCUGUGGAUGAAAGCAGGGGACCGCAAGGCCUUGUGCGAUUGGAGCGGCCGAUGUCAGAUUAGCUAGUUGGUAGGGUAAAAGCCUACCAAGGCGACGAUCUGUA
rnacentral:rRNA from 1 species